AGACCACACAACUUACCGUCGUCUUCAGCUACUCUUCGGGCCGCCGCCGUUGAUUGCCACCGGAAACUUCCAAUUAUUCCUCCUACAAAACCGCCGGAAAAUAUUAGCGAAUUUUUCGUGGCCAUUGUUAGCGCUCAUGAGUGAACAGACGCAAACUCCACCUCAACCUCUACCCACUUCUUCUGAUUCCACCCUUGUAUCGAACUCUCCAGUUGAUCUUCCACCAAACCCCUCUAACCCUUCCAAAAUCCCAAUUCGACCACAGAAAAUCCGAA
rnacentral:misc_RNA from 1 species